rnacentral:rRNA from 1 species
GUCGAGUGCGCGCCUGUAGCAAUACAGGUGGCGCACGGCGCACGGGUGCGUAACACGUGGGUAAUCUGCCCUUCGAAGGGGAAUAACUCGCCGAAAGGCGAGCUAAUUCCGCAUAACAUUCCAAGAACUUUGGUUUUUGGACUCAAAGGCGUAAGUCGUCGGAGGAGGAGCCCGCGCACGAUUAGCUAGUUGGUAGGGUAACGGCCUACCAAGGCUAUGAUCGUUAGCUGGUCUGAGAGGAUGGCCAGCCACACUGGAACUGAGACACGGUCCAGACUCCUACGGGAGGCAGCAGUGGGGAAUCUUGCACAAUGGGCGAAAGCCUGAUGCAGCGACGCCGCGUGGGGGAUGAAGCUUCUCGGAGUGUAAACCCCUUUCGACCCGGACGAAUGCCCCGCAAGGGGACUGACGGUACGGGUAUAAGAAGCCCCGGCUAACUACGUGCCAGCAGCCGCGGUAAGACGUAGGGGGCCAGCGUUGCUCGGAAUUACUGGGUGUAAAGGGUUCGUAGGCGGUGUGGCAAGUCGGGAGUGAAAUCUCUGGGCUCAACCCAGAGUCUGCUUCCGAAACUGCUGUGCUUGAGUGUGGGAGAGGCGCGUGGAAUUGCAGGUGUAGCGGUGAAAUGCGUAGAUAUCUGCAGGAACACCCGUGGCGAAAGCGGCGCGCUGGACCACUACUGACGCUGA